UACGUAGGGGGCGAGCGUUGUCCGGAGUUACUGGGCGUAAAGCGCACGCAGGCGGUCUGCUAAGUUUGGAGUGACAGUUGGUGGCUUAACUGCCAAAGUGCUUCGAAAACUGACAGACUUGAGGGCUUCAGAGGGACACGGAAUUCCGGGUGGAGUGGUGAAAUGCGUAGAGAUCCGGAGGAACACCAAAGGCGAAGGCAGUGUCCUGGGGAGUACCUGACGCUCGAUGCACGAAAGCGUGGGGAGCAAACAGG
rnacentral:rRNA from 1 species